rnacentral:piRNA from 1 species
UUGCAUGUGGUUCCCUGAUGGUUAGUGUUC